rnacentral:lncRNA from 1 species
CCUUGGAUAGUAAUGAUACCAACUAAAGGUGCCCAACGAGCUGGGUGGCACGUGACAUAGCACAGGCACGGCACAAGCACAUUUCGACAAAGCACGCGGCACGACACGGCACUCACGUGGACUGGGUUGAGCUCAGAUUUUUAGGCAUGUGAACGUUAAAAGCACGACACAAUUAGCGGUGGGCCAUCGUACGGCACGAAAAAAGACACGUAAUAAGCACACUUAAUUGAUGGGUUAGCACGCAACCCGUGUGCCAUCAAUAGCACGUGGGUCAAAGUAUAUCAAAGUAAUUUUUUUAAUAAAAAGUAAAAAAUAAGAAUAUUAUGAUUUUACACAUAUAUUUAAAAUUUAAAAUUUAAAUAUAUUUUAUUAAAUUAAUUUAAGUCUUAGUUUUAAAAAAUUCUAAUUGUUUUAUGUUUAUCAUUUAUUAAAUGAAUAAAUAAAUAUCAUAAUUUUAAUAAAUAAAAUUAUAAAUAUCACGAUUUUAUAAAUGAUAUAUCAAAAUUUUAUGACAAUUAAUAUUUCAUUUAUGAAAUCGUAACUUAGUUAAUGGACAUAUGUUUCAUUUGUUAUUUGUGAAUAAAAUAUUUUUCAUAUUUAUACACAAAAAAAUUAUGAACGAAAUAUUUUUUUAUUUUUUAUGAUAAAUUAAAAGUUUCAUUUUCAUUCAAUGGGGUUCAAGUCCAAUUAUAAUAUUAAUAGUUCAAAUAAAAUUAGGUGUAAUUUACUUCAUUGAAGUACAAAUAAUAUUGUUAUGUUAUAAUUGAAUUGGUAAUUGUGAAAUUAAAUAUUUAAAUAUAUAAGUUACGGAAUUGUGAUAAAUUGAUAAUAAAAUGUUAAAUUUUCUUUUAAUAAUUAAUAAAAAUUAUUAUAAUUAUUAUUGUUGUUGUUGUUAUUAUUAGAUGGGCUGAUGGGCUUGGAAAACGCACGUGGGCUUAAACAAACCAUGCCAGGCACGUGGACUUAAAAUUUGAUGGGCCUUUUUUGGGCGGUUGGGCUUAACAAAAACAAUUAGGCACGCCCCACCGUGCCAGCCCGUGGGCCUUUACGGGCCUGGGAUUGAUGGGCCGUGAGGCCUUUAAUACCAAAUAGGAGUCACUUCUCAAGUGUUGUGGAGUAGGGUGUUUAUAAAUUACUAGUUGUUUUGGGUUUGUUUAGUUUGUUUUAAGGAUAAUUUAUCGACCAUGGUUGUAAGUGAUCAUUACAGUAAUAAAUUUUGUUACAUACUUAAUCUUAAUAAUGAUUUUAUGAAAAUGACUAAAGAGGUAAAUUUCUCAAUAAUCAUUUCCAUGAUAAUAAUUCAUAUUGUCAAGGAUUUAAUGUAUGCAACAAUAAAAUAAAAUUGUAGAGAUACAAAUUGAAUCGCCAAGAAUGUUUUCUUAAUAUAUUUAUUUUGGUUUAAUUUAAAUUUAAAUUGCAUGUUAUCCUUUUAAUUAAUCAGCUAAUUAUUUUGAGUGAACUUAGGGAUUGUAGGGUCUAAUUUCACUCCUAUUCUUCUAGCACAAAAAUAACUUAUUAUCUCUUUGAAAAAAAAAAAAAAUCGCUACAUGAAAGACCAGGUUUACAAAUUACACUAGAAAGUAAUAAACAGAAACGAAUUUUUUAACAUUUGCGAUAUUAAAAUUCCAAUUAAAUAAUGUAUUAAAAAAAACUAUUUGUAUUCAUAAAAAAAAGUACGAUAAUUUGUAUUUAAAUAAAAUCAAAUUUGGAUCGGGUUCACAAGGGUCCCGGUCCGGAAGCGAGGAGAUGGAGAAGGAUGGAUAUGUCGAUAGAACCUUCAGAGCUGAGCGCAUCAUCACAAGGCCCGAAAAAGGGAGAAGAAAUUGGAGGGAAUUGCAAAGAGAGGUGUGAAGAGAAAAAGAAGACAAUAAAUACGAGCAGCGAAGCAAAAAUUGUAGUGUUUCAGAUUGAAAACUAUAUUACUUGAUUAAAAGGACAUCAUGAUCCCCUCAGGUUUUCGUAUCCACAUGUUAUUCGCCGCUUCCAGUAUUCAUACGGCCUUCUUUCUCUUUCCUCUCUCCGUAAAACCCUCAAUCCCCCAUUCACGGUUCCUGCAGAUUGAAGGUUUAUCUGAUUAUAAACAACAAAUUUUUUUGGAUCUUCAAUUUGCCCCUGCUAGUUUUCUAGUAUUGCAAUUUGACCCCAUCCCUUUUGCUAUUUUACUACUAUCCAAGAAAUAAAUUGGGGUUGGUAAAAAAGCCCUCGCCAGUUCGGCCCAAGUCCACAUGGAUUGAACUUGUAUAUAUGUGGAUUGAAAAACAUAAAGAUUGUAUAGAUUAAAAUUUGAAUUUAUAAAUAAAAAAACAUAAAUUAAAUUAAAAAAG